GCUACCUUUGCUAAGUGGUAAAGCAUCUGACUGCAAAUCAGACAUGCCCAUGUUCGAUUCAUGGAGGUAGCUCCA
rnacentral:tRNA from 1 species